rnacentral:rRNA from 1 species
UGCGUAGGUGGCAAGCGUUAUCCGGAAUUAUUGGGCGUAAAGCGCGCGCAGGUGGUUUCUUAAGUCUGAUGUGAAAGCCCACGGCUCAACCGUGGAGGGUCAUUGGAAACUGGGAGACUUGAGUGCAGGAGAGGAAAGUGGAAUUCCAAGUGUAGCGGUGAAAUGCGUAGAGAUUUGGAGGAACACCAGUGGCGAAGGCGACUUUCUGGCCUGUAACUGACAAUGAGGCGCGAAAGAGUGGGGAGCAAACAGG